rnacentral:rRNA from 1 species
UACGUAGGGUGCGAGCGUUAAUCGGAAUUACUGGGCGUAAAGCGUGCGCAGGCGGUUUCACAAGCUCGAUGUGAAAGCCCCCGGGCUUAACCUGGGAAUGGCAUUGAGGACUGUGGAGCUCGAGUGCGGCAGAGGGAGGUGGAAUUCCACGUGUAGCAGUGAAAUGCGUAGAGAUGUGGAGGAACACCGAUGGCGAAGGCAGCCUCCUGGGCCGACACUGACGCUCAUGCACGAAAGCGUGGGGAGCAAACAGG